rnacentral:rRNA from 1 species
AGGAUGAACGCUGGCGGUCUGCUUAACACAUGCAAGUCGAACGGAGUAGAAAUACUUAGUGGCGGACGGGUGAGUAACGCGUGAGAAUCUACCUUCAGGACGGAGACAACAGUUGGAAACGACUGCUAACCCCCGAUGUACUGAAAAGGCAAAUAUUUAUAGCCUGAAGAAGAGCUCGCGUCCGAUUAGCUAGUUGGAGAGGUAAAAGCUCACCAAGGCGACGAUCGGUAGCUGGUCUGAGAGGACGAUCAGCCACACUGGGACUGAGACACGGCCCAGACUCCUACGGGAGGCAGCAGUGGGGAAUAUUGGACAAUGGGCGAAAGCCUGAUCCAGCCAUGCCGCGUGAGUGAUGAAGGCCCUAGGGUUGUAAAGCUCUUUCAACGGUGAAGAUAAUGACGGUAACCGUAGAAGAAGCCCCGGCUAACUUCGUGCCAGCAGCCGC